rfam:Asian citrus Psyllid, Diaphorina citri - Florida Strain, whole genome shotgun sequence.
GCCUAGUUAGCUUAGUUGGUAGUGCGUCUGCCUUGUAAGCGCUGGGCUGCGGGUUCGAUUCCCGCCCGGGGCG